AUUGAACGCUGGCGGCAGGCUUAACACAUGCAAGUCGAACGAGCGGCGGACGGGUGAGUAAUGUAUGGGGAUCUGCCUGAUAGCGGGGGAUAACUACUGGAAACGGUAGCUAAUACCGCAUACUAUCAGAUGAACCCAUAUGGGAUUAGCUUGUAGGUGAGGUAACGGCUCACCUAGGCGACGAUCCCUAUCUGGUCUGAGAGGAUGAUCAGCCACACUCGGACUGAGCCACGGCCCAGACUCCUACGAGAGGCAGCAGUGGGGAAUAUUGCACAAUGGGCGCAAGCAUGAUGCAGCCAUGCCGCGUGUAUGAAGAAGUCCUUCGGGUUGUAAAGUACUGUCAGUCGGGAGGAGUUACCGACAGAAGAAGCACCGGCUAACUCCGUGCCAGCAGCCGCGGUAAUAC
rnacentral:rRNA from 1 species